CAGGACGAACGCUGGCGGCGUGCCUAAGGCAUGCAAGUCGAGCGGUAGCUCCUAUUGGUUUAUGCCGAUAGGAGUGAGAGCGGCGCACGGGUGAGUAACACGUAGGUAACCUACCCCAGAGAGGGGGAUAACACCUCGAAAGGGGUGCUAAACCCCCAUAUACUUACCGAGCGAUAUGCUCAGGUAAGGAAAGAGUAUAGAGGGGCAACCCUCUAUGCUGCUCUGGGAUGGGCCUGCGGCCUAUCAGCUAGUUGGUGGGGUAAUGGCCCACCAAGGCUAAGACGGGUAGCCGGCCUGAGAGGGUGGUCGGCCACACUGGGACUGAGACACGGCCCAGACUCCUACGGGAGGCAGCAGCCGGGAAUCUUCCGCAAUGGGGGAAACCCUGACGGAGCGACGCCGCGUGAGGGAAGAAGCCCUUCGGGGUGUAAACCUCUUUUCUCGGGGAAGAAUACUGACGGUACCCGAGGAAGAAGCCCCGGCUAACUACGUGCCAGCCGCCGCGGUAAUUC
rnacentral:rRNA from 1 species